GGCUCAACUUGUGACUUGCCGGAAAAACUGCAGAGAUUGAAUCCGGAAGGGGAAAGCGGAAUUCCUGGUGUAACGGUGAAAUGCGUAGAUAUCAGGAGGAACACCAGUGGCGAAGGCGGCUUUCUGGUCCGGAAUUGACGCUGAGGCACUAAAGCGUGGGUAGCAAACAGGAUUAGAUACCCUGGUAGUCCACGCCCUAAACGAUGGAUACUUGAUGUCGGGAUGUUCGGUCGUCUCGGUGUCGUAGCUAACGUGUUAAGUAUCCCGCCUGGGGACUACGGUCGCAAGACUGAAACUCAAAGGAAUUGACGGGGGCCCGCACCAGCGGUGGAACAUGUGGUUUAAUUCGAUGCAGCGCGAAGAACCUUACCUGGGCUUGACAUAUAUAUGAAGUAUGUAAGAAAUUAUGUAUUCUGUCUGCAUUUGCAGGUAGCAUAUAUACAGGUGAUGCAUGGCUGUCGUCAGCUCGUGUCGUGAGAUGUAGGGUUAAGUCCCUUAACGAGCGCAACCCUUGCUUUUAGUUGCCAUCAGGUAAUGCUGGGGACUCUAGAAGGACUGCCGAGGUUAACUCGGAGGAAGGUGGGGAUGACGUCAAGUCAGUAUGUCCCUUAUGUCCAGGGCUACACACGUGUUACAAUGGACGGUACAGAGUGCAGCUACGCCGUGAGGCUACGCAAAUCACUUAAAGCCGUUCCCAGUUCGGAUUGGAGUCUGCAAUUCGACUCCAUGAAGUUGGAAUCGCUAGUAAUCGCAGAACAGCAUGCUGCGGUGAUACGUUCCCGGGCCUUGUACACACCGCCCGUCACGCCAUGGAAGUUGGGAGUACCCAAAGUUGCUGUCUAUACGGUGGAGGUAACUAAGGUAAGACCGAUGACUGGGGCGAA
rnacentral:rRNA from 1 species